CUUUUGAACACAAGCAAGCACUUCACUCCAUUUAUCCUCGGACAAGCCCUCCUUGAACUCAGCCAAAUUAUAAAAUCCUUUUGCUGUAUUUUGCUGUAUUUUGCUGAGAGGAUUCGAGGUCCCUGUUGGGGUGCCACUUGUGGGUGGUCUCUCUAAAGGGAGACCUGAGACCCUGGAGAGAACCAACCUUUAUAGAAAGAAAAGGAGACAGCCUGGGGGACAAGCAGAAGUUUACUCCUCUGACACUAUUUGACAAUCACAAAGGAAAGAAGUAAGGCUUUUAUACAGGUUACUUCGUUAUAAAGAAAUGGCAGAGAAAGCAGUAUGUGAAGAUGACCUGUCUUGGGGAACCUUCUCCUGCAUUUCUCCUUUCAGCUGCUGGUGCAGCAACAGCCACAGCAAUCAAAAGAAAUGUUGCUGUUUCCUGCCCACAAUGAUCCAUGAUGACCUGUAAUGAUGCACCUUCCAUCUGAAUGCAGAACUCCUCUCAGAGACAUUUUAGAACUUAGAGCUGCAGAGGAUUGCUAUUCUUCAGGUGUGUUCAUUGUGUAUAAAUGCACUGCCUUCCUGGUUGUAUUCCUCCUAAAUCAGCUGAAAACCUUUCUUCACAUUUUUUUGCCUCAACAUUGAGCACUUGUGAUUGCACAUGUCUGGCCACAGUAGAUUACUAAAGCUGUGGAUGUUACAGCAGACUUGUAUCAAACAGAAUCAUUUCCUGAAACAUUUGGACUGUGACUAAAGAAAGUAUCCCUCCAUAGGGGAUGUAGUUGUAGGUUUUUAAACAUGUAAACUUUGGGCCAUAUUUAGGUCUAUAUCAUGGACAAAACAAUAUAACCUGGACCGAGGACAUAGGGAAAAUUACCCAGAUAGAUGUUCUUAGCCAGCAUGAUGUAGGAGGCAAUGCUCUGUCUCAAAUGAAGAUGAGCCUUUCCUUCCAAUUGUUCUGUUGAUCUUUGCACUGAGCCCAGUACAUGUAGCCUUGAUGGGUUCAUGACACAGUCAUUAUUUAGGCUGUGCCCUGCUCCAAAUGGGAAUGGGUUUGACUUGCAUUCUGGAUGCUUCAGAAAGCCAUCUGUGACACCAUCACCGUGUGCUCAUCCUCAAGAAGACAGGCACACAGGUAGAUGCAGUAUGUGUGAAAUUGUGUAUACACUAACAAUUGUGUACAAGUGCAGCAGAGAUGGGAGGACCCUCGGCAUGGCCCUCAGUUGUACACACUGGGUGGCACUGAAAUCACUACCAAAAUUUCCUAUGCCUGGUGGUAUUUUUCUACACACUAGUGAAAACAGAUAGUGAGCAAUAGAAGAAGCAGUUUGUCACACUGUAUGUAAUGAUAAUCACAAAUGAGAUGUCCUAGGGAGAGUAUGUGAAUAGGGGAAAUCUCACUGAAAAAAUGGCUUCCAAAGUGGAGUGGGAAGAAGAGUUGGAUCAGAUGGGUGGGAGUCCAUUUGGAGAGCAGUGUGGACAGAGGGGGAUGGGAGGGUGAGGAGCAGAUCAAAGGCUGAGAUCAAAGCUGUUUCCAUUCCAAAAUUUAAAAAUUAAAAUAUUAAUUUUUAAUUGCAUCAGCUCAAAUUUUAUUUUUGAAAACACUUGAAAUACUUCAAACUUUAGAUGUAUAUUUGUGCCACCAGCUUCCUUCAUCUGAGGCACUAUAACAAAAAAAAUAUGGAGGUCAUUUAAAAAUAUCAAAUUUAUUUAGCAUAAAUACUGAGCUUAAGAAGUCAGAGUUUUUUAAAAUUUUAUUUUCAGUCUAUGAAAAUGAUACCAUCACUGCUUACCUCUGAGAGAAAAAGAAAUAUAUAUAUAUAUAUA
rnacentral:lncRNA from 1 species